rnacentral:piRNA from 1 species
UGUUCAGAUCCUUAUUGGUGCAAUGGACCAG